UUGUCCAUUUUUGGCUUUUAUCACUGUGGGUUAUCCAUUCUUGACUUGGUCCUAACCCAUUUGCUAAUUUGUACUAGAGUUGCGUUUUAUUUGAUUAAACCCGUAUUCUAUCUGGGUCAUAAAUCGGGUUUCAGUUACUGUGGAUAGUGUUUAAUUACUCUCCAAUUUCUCCGUCCUGAUUUUCAGCCUGAUAUUUGCACAUCUAGAACAACUUGAAUUUCAAACACAUCUUCUGCUUGCAUCUUCUUCGUGAUGAAAACUACGUGGAAUUAUUAGUGGAACAUAAUCAUCUCGGUUUGUACAGGACGAGGUUUUAAACAAGAGCAGGCCAAGAAAAUAUUGCAGAAAUCAAUUUCCUGCUUAAAUGGAGGCUGGAGCGCAGAUUUGAGCUGUAACCAAUGGGUGCCCCCAAGCAGAAAUGGACCUCAGAAGAAGAAGCUGCUCUUAAGGCUGGUGUCAAAAAGCAUGGUGCAGGUAAGUGGCGUACGAUCCUUAAAGAUCCAGAGUUUAGCGGGGUGUGUUGUAUCUGCGCUCAAAUGUGGACCUCAAGGACAAGUUGAGGAACAUGAGUGUCAUAGCCAAUGGAUGGGGUUCUGGAGAGAAGGCUAGGUUGGCACUUAAAACAAUGCACCAGAGCUCUAGAGAUGAUGAUAAUUCUGUUGUUUUUGUAUAUAGGAUUCUAGUAUAGUUUAAGUAUAUAAAAUAUAGAACAUAACAUAAAAAGGAAUAGUGAAACUAUUUUUUCUUGGAAUAUUUUGUUGUUCUGAUAUAUUAAAAGAUAUUACAAGCUUC